UUCUGAUACUUUACCACCCUGAUCGUUCCCAAUGUAGUCUGAUUUCAGAAGCCAAGCAGGGUUGGGUCUGGUUAGUAUGUGGAUGGGAGACCAGCAGCAAUCUCCAGAAUCCAGCCC
rnacentral:rRNA from 1 species